rnacentral:rRNA from 1 species
UGACCCAUUGCAAUGCCGUGUUCUGCACGUUAAACAUAGUCGUGUUGGCUUCGGACACACGUUAAAGACGCGAAAAAGCCCUGUUUACGAAUCUAAUGUGAAAGAACUUUACAACCAAUGACGUUGGAUCCCUUGGCAUGCCUGAUCGAUGAAGACCGUUGCCAACUGCGAUAAGUGGUGUGAUGCGCAAGUCUAAAACUUAUAAGUGAACCAUCGAAUUGUUGAACGCACUGCACCGAGCUCUACCCGAGCACGGUAUGUCCCAUUGAGCGCUAUUAAUGUCUUCGAGAGGGCUGAUCUUUGGUUGGCACCCGGGUUCGGAGUCCACAGUGCCCUUGCACUGCGUUCUCUCAGAUGGAUUUGAAUGGUGUCUGGUUGCACUGGAACCUCUAUGUCAUGAGAAUGCAUGGAGUGCCCGUUAAGCGCCUGAUGCCUGGGACAGCACAGAUGAUGGCUGUCCAAGCAUGCUUAAUUGAGAAUGUAGCCUCACUGGGACAAGACAACCCGCUAGACUUAAGCAUAUUAAUCAGCGGAGGAAAAGAAACUAACUAGGAUUCCCUCAGUAACUGCGAGUGAAGCGGGAUGAGCUCAAUGUGUGAAUCUGGCGGGGCUGAAUUUCCCUGUCCGAGUUGUGCACUAUAGACACUGGCUCUGCACAUGCACUCCUAACGGCGGAAGUCCGAUGAAACACGGCACCAUGGAAGGUCACAGUCCUGUCCCUGCCGUUCUAGGAUGCGUGCGUACGACCGGUGCUCUGCGAGUCGCGUAGUUUUGUAUUGCUGCGCUAAUGGGGAGGUAGAGCCCUUCUAAAGCUAAAUAUGGCGGCAUGACCGAUAGCACACAAGUACCGCGAGGGAAAGGUGAAAAGCAACUAUGAAGAAUAGGUUGAAACAGUAGUGAAAGCGUUAUUGGGAUAAGGGCUGGCGGAUGCUGGGGCUGCUGGUGCGUGCUUCAGUGCUGUGCCAGUGGACGGCACACACGGGUUGGGAUGCAAGGAACCGCGCCUUAGUGAAUUCGGCCACAUGCGUGGUGUUGUAGCCUGAGUGCGAAUGGAAUUCAUCUGGAUCUGUACUGUGUGUCUUGCGGACGUCAGCCUCCCGUCUUGAAACACGGACCAAGGAGUGUACCUUGCAUGCGAGUCGAAGGGACUGUAAUCCCGUAGGCGGAGCGAAAGCGAAGAUCAUGAAGUGUGUAUGCACGACAGUGGCACCCGCACUUGUGCGCGGUAGAGCAUGUAGGGUGCGACCCGAAAGAUGGUGAACUAUGCCUGGGCAAGGUGAAGCCAGUGGAAACGCUGGUGGAGGCCUGUAGCGAUUCUGACGUGCAAAUCGAUCGUGUGACCUGGGUAUAGGGGCGAAA